rnacentral:sRNA from 2 species
UCGCGUCAAGCGCCGUAGGCAGGAGCGGGGGACCCAAGGUAGGCGCCGCACCGGGCAGUUGACCGGAGUGGCUUGGGGUGAAGCCGCGCCUCGUGAAAGCGAGAGCGUGGCCGGGCAACUCAACCGGCCCGAACCCGACAGCUCACCUCGCAGGCGUCGGUGAGGGGAUCC